UCCUACGGGGGGCAGCAGUGAGGAAUAUUGGUCAAUGGUCGGGAGACUGAACCAGCCAAGCCGCGUGAGGGAUGAAGGUACAGAGUAUCGUAAACCUCUUUUGUCAGGGAACAAAGGCGGGGACGUGUCCCCGGAUGAGUGUACCUGAAGAAAAAGCAUCGGCUAACUCCGUGCCAGCAGCCGCGGUAAUACGGAGGAUGCGAGCGUUAUCCGGAUUUAUUGGGUUUAAAGGGUGCGCAGGCGGUCCGUUAAGUCAGCGGUCAAAGCCCGGGGCUCAACCCCGGCCCGCCGUUGAAACUGGCAGG
rnacentral:rRNA from 1 species